rnacentral:lncRNA from 1 species
GUAUUUGAAUGUAAUUAAGCUUGUAAAUGGGAUCAAAUAUUAAAGAUAUCUCUAAAGGCGUUUGCUAAAAUUAUUCAGAGGGGGGGAAAAUCUAUAAAAGAAUUUAAGAGCUUAAAGAAAUCUUUACUUUUGCCUUUUUUGCAGUGCUGGUGAACAAACCCUGGAGCCUACUCUGCAAGCACUUCUAGCAUUAACAACACCCGCAGGCCCCUUAAGGGAAAGUUUUUGGCAGAUAAAUAGGUGUGGAUUUCU